GGUCAGGUCUUAAAAUGUAUAUAGUCACUUGGAUUACAAACCCUAACAUUCUUUAUUAUUUUACUCUGUCUAACGCCAGAUUAUUUUACUCCGUCUAAUGCUAUACGAUUUUACUUGUCAAGGGGAGAGCGCUGGCACUUAGUGGGUUAACUCGUCUAUCUGCCCAUGAUGUGUCUAGUUAACCCAUUGAGUCACAUUGCACCCUACUUUAUUAUUUUCUGUCUAAUGCCAGAUGAUUGUUUUGUAUAAUAGGUU